GAUGAACGCUGGCGGCGUGCCUAAUACAUGCAAGUCGAGCGAACGGACGAGAAGCUUGCUUCUCUUAUGUUAGCGGCGGACGGGUGAGUAACACGUGGAGAACCUACCUAUAAGACUGGGAUAACUUCGGGAAACCGGAGCUAAUACCGGAUAAUAUUUUUAACCGCAUGUUUCAAGAUUGAAAGACGGUCUUGCUUUCCUCUAUAGUUGUACCCGCGCUUCAUUAGCUAGUUGGUAAGUUAACGGCUUACAAGGCAACGAUGCAUAGCCGACCUGAGAGGGUGAUCGGCCACACUGGAACUGAGACACGGUCCAGACUCCUACGGGAGGCAGCAGUAGGGAAUCUUCCGCAAUGGGCGAAAGCCUGACGGAGCAACGCCGCGUGAGUGAUGAAGGUCUUCGGAUCGUAAAACUCUGUUAUUAGGGAAGAACAUAUGUGUAAGUAACUGUGCACAUCUUGACGGUACCUAAUCAGAAAGCCACGGCUAACUACGUG
rnacentral:rRNA from 1 species